rnacentral:rRNA from 1 species
CCUACGGGAGGCAGCAGUGGGGAAUAUUGGGCAAUGGGCGCAAGCCUGACCCAGCAACGCCGCGUGAAGGAAGAAGGCUUUCGGGUUGUAAACUUCUUUUCUCAGGGACGAAGCAAGUGACGGUACCUGAGGAAUAAGCCACGGCUCAAUACGUGCCAGCAGCCGCGGUAAUACGUAGGUGGCAAGCGUUAUCCGGAUUUACUGGGGGUAAAGGGCGUGUAGGCGGGGACGGAAGUCAGAUGUGAAAACCACGGGCUCAACCUGUGCCCUGGCUUUGACACUGUGUUUCUUGAGUACUGGAGAGGCAGACGGAAUUCGUAGUGUAGCGGUGAAAUGCGUAGAUAUUAGGAGGAACACCAGUGGCGAAGGCGGUCUGCUGGCCACCAACUGACGCGGAGGCGCGAAAGCGUGGGGAGCAAACAGGAUUAGAUACCCCAGUAGUC